GAUGAACGCUGGCGGCGUGCCUAAUACAUGCAAGUCGAGCGAAUGGAUUAAGAGCUUGCUCUUAUGAAGUUAGCGGCGGACGGGUGAGUAACACGUGGGUAACCUGCCCAUAAGACUGGGAUAACUCCGGGAAACCGGGGCUAAUACCGGAUAACAUUUUGAACCGCAUGGUUCGAAAUUGAAAGGCGGCUUCGGCUGUCACUUAUGGAUGGACCCGCGUCGCCAUUAGCUAGUUGGUGAGGUAACGGCUCACCAAGGCAACGAUGCGUAGCCGGCCUGGUAGGGUGAUCGGCACAACGGGGACUGAGACACGGCCCAGGCUCCUACGGGAGGCAGGAGUAGGGAAUCUUCCGCAAUGGACGAAAGUCUGACGGAGCAACUCCGCGUGAGUGAUGAAGGCUUUCGGGUCGUAAAACUCUGUUGUUAGGGAAGAACAAGUGCUAGUUGAAUAAGCUGGCACCUUGACGGUACCUAACCAGAAAGCCACGGCUAACUACGUGCCAGCCGCCGCGGUAA
rnacentral:rRNA from 1 species